rnacentral:rRNA from 1 species
AACGAACGCUGGCGGCAUGCCUAACACAUGCAAGUCGAACGAGACCUUCGGGUCUAGUGGCGCACGGGUGCGUAACGCGUGGGAACCUGCACUUAGGUUCGGAAUAACUCCCCGAAAGGGGUGCUAAUACCGGAUAAUGUCUUCGGACCAAAGAUUUAUCGCCUUUGGAUGGGCCCGCGUUGGAUUAGCUAGUUGGUAGGGUAAAAGCCUACCAAGGCGACGAUCCAUAGCUGGUCUGAGAGGAUGAUCAGCCACACUGGGACUGAGACACGGCCCAGACUCCUACGGGAUGCAGCAGUGGGGAAUAUUGGACAAUGGGCGAAAGCCUGAUCCAGCAAUGCCGCGUGAGUGAUGAAGGCCUUAGGGUUGUAAAGCUCUUUUACCCGGGAUGAUAAUGACAGUACCGGGAGAAUAAGCUCCGGCUAACUCCGUG